AGAGUUUGAUCCUGGCUCAGAUUGAACGCUGGCGGCAUGCCUUACACAUGCAAGUCGAACGGUAACAGGUCUUCGGAUGCUGACGAGUGGCGAACGGGUGAGUAAUACAUCGGAACGUGCCCGAGAGUGGGGGAUAACGAAGCGAAAGCUUUGCUAAUACCGCAUACGAUCUCAGGAUGAAAGCAGGGGACCGCAAGGCCUUGCGCUCACGGAGCGGCCGAUGGCAGAUUAGGUAGUUGGUGGGAUAAAAGCUUACCAAGCCGACGAUCUGUAGCUGGUCUGAGAGGACGACCAGCCACACUGGGACUGAGACACGGCCCAGACUCCUACGGGAGGCAGCAGUGGGGAAUUUUGGACAAUGGGCGCAAGCCUGAUCCAGCCAUGCCGCGUGCAGGAUGAAGGCCUUCGGGUUGUAAACUGCUUUUGUCAGGGAAGAAACGGUUCGAGCUAAUACCCCGGACUAAUGACGGUACCUGAAGAAUAAGCACCGGCUAACUACGUGCCAGCAGCCGCGGUAAUA
rnacentral:rRNA from 1 species